GAUGAAGAACGUAGCAAAAUGCGAUACGUAAUGUGAAUUGCAAAUUCAGUGAAUCAUCGAGUCUUUGAACGCACAUUGCGCCCCCGGGUAUUCCGGGGGGCAUGCCUGUCCGAGCGUCAUUGCUGCCCUCAAGCACGGCUUGUGUGUUGGGCCCCGUCCUCCGAUCCCGGGGGACGGGCCCGAAAGGCAGCGGCGGCACCGCGUCCGGUCCUCGAGCGUAUGGGGCUUUGUCACCCGCUCUGUAGGCCCGGCCGGCGCUUGCCGAUCAACCCAAAUUUUUAUCCAGGUUGACCUCGGAUCAGGUAGGGAUACCCGCUGAACUUAAGCAUAUCAAUAAGCGGAGGA
rnacentral:misc_RNA from 1 species